GACGAACGCUGGCGGCGUGCUUAACACAUGCAAGUCGAACGGAAAGGCCCUGCUUUUGUGCGUUGCUCGAGUGGCGAACGGGUGAGUAACACGUGAGUAACCUGCCCUUGACUUUGGGAUAACUUCAGGAAACUGGGGCUAAUACCGGAUAGGAGCUCCUGCUGCAUGGUGGGGGUUGGAAAGUUUCGGCGGUUGUGGAUGUACUCGCGGCUUAUCAGCUUGUUGGUGUGGUAGUGGCUUACCAAGGCUGUGACGGGUAGCCGGCCUGAGAGGGUGACCGGCGACAUUGGGACUGAGAUACGGACCAGACUCGUACGGGAGGCAGCAGUGGAGAACAUUGCACAAUGGGCGGAAGCCUGAUGUAGAAACGCCGCGUGCGGGAUGACGGCCUUUGGGGUGUAAACAGCUUUCGACGGUGACGAAGCGUGAGUGACGGUAAUGGGUAAAGAAGCAACGGCUGACUACGUG
rnacentral:rRNA from 1 species